AGGUGACGCUGCGGUGUGGUAAACAUGCAGUCAAACGCGAAAGUUUCCUCGGAAAUGAGUAGGGUGGCGCACGGGUGAGUAACGCGUGGAUUAUCUACCUACUGGUACGGGACAACAGUUGGAAACGACUGCUAAUACCGUAUACGCUGGUAACGGGAAAGGGGGCCUCUUCUUGAAAGCUCUCGCCAGUAGAUGAGUCCGCGUUUCAUUAGCUAGACGGUGGGGUAACGGCCUACCGUGGCAACGAUGAAUAGCAGGCCUGAGAGGGUGGCCUGCCACACUGGGACUGGAACACGGCCCAGACUCCUACGGGAGGCAGCAGUGGGGAAUAUUGCGCAAUGGACGAAAGUCUGACGCAGCGACGCCGCGUGGAGGAUGAAGGUUUUCGGAUCGUAAACUCCUGUCAAGAGGGAAGAAACCUAUCAUGAAUAAUACUCAUGGUAAUUGACGGUACCUCUAGAGGAAGCACCGGCUAAUUCAGUGCCAGCAGCCGCGGUAAUACUGAAGGUGCAAGCGUUAAUCGGAAUCACUGGGCGUAAAGCGCUCGUAGGUGGCUUUGUAAGUCAGGUGUGAAAGCCCACGGCUCAACCGUGGAAUUGCACUUGAUACUGCAUCGCUAGAGUAUAGGAGAGGGAAGUGGAAUUUCUGGUGUAGGAGUGGAAUCCGUAGAGAUCAGAAGGAACACCCGUGGCGAAGGCGACUUCCUGGACUAUUACUGACACUGAGGAGCGAAAGCGUGGGGAGCAAACAGGAUUAGAUACCCUGGUAGUCCACGCCGUAAACGAUGGGUACUAGGUGUUGGGGGCUUGACCCUCGGUGCCGUAGUUAACGCGUUAAGUACCCCGCCUGGGGAGUACGGUCGCAAGGCUGAACUCAAA
rnacentral:rRNA from 1 species